rnacentral:rRNA from 1 species
GAUGAACGCUGGCGGCGUGCCUAAUACAUGCAAGUCGAGCGAACGGACGAGAAGCUUGCUUCUCUGAUGUUAGCGGCGGACGGGUGAGUAACACGUGGAUAACCUACCUAUAAGACUGGGAUAACUUCGGGAAACCGGAGCUAAUACCGGAUGAUAUUUUGAACCGCAUGGUUCAAAAGUGAAAGACGGUCUUGCUGUCACUUAUAGAUGGAUCCGCGCUGCAUUAGCUAGUUGGUAAGGUAACGGCUUACCAAGGCAACGAUGCAUAGCCGACCUGAGAGGGUGAUCGGCCACACUGGAACUGAGACACGGUCCAGCCUCCUACGGGAGGCAGCAGUAGGGAAUCUUCCGCAAUGGGCGACAGCCUGACGGAGCAACGCCGCGUGAGUGAUGAAGGUCUUCGGAUCGUAAAACUCUGUUAUUAGGGAAGAACAUAUGUGUAAGUAACUGUGCACAUCUUGACGGUACCUAAUCAGAAAGCCACGGCUAACUACGUG